rnacentral:lncRNA from 12 species
GGGGGGGGGGGGGGGGGGGGGGGGGGGGGGGGGGGGGGGGGGGGGGGGGGGGGGGGGGGGGGGGGCCCAGUUCAUUCCCAUUCUGGAAUGGACACAUGGAGCCAUUCCAGGAUCCCCAUCCCCUACAAAGAGCCCUGCUGGCACUGGGGUCUGCUUCAUUCCCAUUCUGGAACGGGAACACAGAGCUGCAGCGGGAUCCUCAUUCCCUACAAACAGGCCCGGCUCAUUCCCAGUUCAUUCCCAUUCUGGAAAGGGAACAUGGAGCCAUUCCAGGAUCCCCAUCCCCUACAAACAGCCCUGCUGCCAUCAUUCCCAGUUCAUUCCCAGUUCAUUCCCAGUUCAUUCCCAGUUCAUUCCCGGCUCAUUCCCGUCCCAUUCCGAUUCCGGACCGUCAGCGCCCUUUGGGGCACACCCAUCACAUGAGUGACCCCCCAGCUGCUCCCUUCCUCCCCCACCCAUCCCCUCGCUCCUGUGACUUUCCCUGCCCAGCUUUGUUUCCACUCCUGCUCCGGAGGGUGACAACGAUGACGGAGCCACCCUGAACCAACCCCAAAACCCUGCAGGCUCAGAUCCAGAUCCUGAUGAUCCCUGCACUUG